rnacentral:rRNA from 1 species
UUUAAUUGGAUUCAACACCGGAAAACUCACCAAGGGAGACCAUCACAUGAAAGCCAGGCUAAUGACUUUGCUUGAUUCUUGGAGAAGUGGUGCAUGGCCAUCGUCAGUUCGUACUGUAAAGCGUUCUCUUAAGUGAGAUAACGAACAAGACCCUCACUUAUAAUUGCUAACUAGAUCUCCGGAUCUGGUGCACAUUAUCGGGACCGCUGGCGCUAAGUCAGAGGAAGGAGAGGUCAACGGUAGGUCAGUAUGCCCUGAAUCUCUUGGGCUACACGCGCGCUACAAAGGGCGGGACAAUGAGUUCCGACACCGAAAGGUGAAGGUAAUCUCCAAACCCGUCCGUAGUUCGGACUGAGGGUUGUAACUCACCCUCACGAAGCUGGAUUCCGUAGUAAUCGCGAAUCAAAAACUCGCGGUGAAUAUGCCCCUGCUCCUUGCACACACCGCCCGUCAAACCACCCGAGUCGGGUUUCAGUGAGGCUGCCUUUUAUUGGGGUAUUCGAGCUGAGAUUCAGCAAGGGAGGUUAAGUCGUAACAAGGUAUCUGUAGGGGAACCUGCAGAUG